rnacentral:tRNA from 1 species
GGUAAAAUGGCUGAGCAAGCAUUAGACUAUAAAUCAAAAGAAAGGGCUUAGCUCCCUUUUUGUCA